AUUGAACGCUGGCGGAAUGCUUUACACAUGCAAGUCGAGCGGCAGCGCGGGGCAACCUGGCGGCGAGCGGCGAACGGGUGAGUAAUGUAUCGGAACGUACCCAGUCGUGGGGGAUAACUAUCCGAAAGGAUAGCUAAUACCGCAUACGUCCUGAGGGAGAAAGCGGGGGAUCGCAAGACCUCGCGCGAUUGGAGCGGCCGAUAUCGGAUUAGCUAGUUGGUGAGGUAAGGGCUCACCAAGGCGACGAUCCGUAGCUGGUCUGAGAGGACGACCAGCCACACUGGAACUGAGACACGGUCCAGAUUCCUACGGGAGGCAGCAGUGGGGAAUAUUGGACAAUGGGCGCAAGCCUGAUCCAGCAAUGCCGCGUGUGUGAAGAAGGCCUCGGUUGUAAGUACGACUUUAUUCUAGACGAAAGACGUAGG
rnacentral:rRNA from 1 species